AUACGGAGGGAGCGAGCGUUAAUCGGAAUUACUGGGCGUAAAGCGCGCGUAGGCGGCUUUGUAAGUCGGAUGUGAAAGCCCUGGGCUCAACCUGGGAAUUGCAUUCGAUACUGCAGAGCUAGAGUAUGGUAGAGGGAAGUGGAAUUUCCGGUGUAGCGGUGAAAUGCGUAGAUAUCGGGAGGAAUACCAGUGGCGAAGGCGGCUUCCUGGACCAAUACUGACGCUGAGGUGCGAAAGCGUGGGGAGCAAACAGGAUUAGAAACCCCGGUAGUCC
rnacentral:rRNA from 1 species